rnacentral:rRNA from 1 species
CCUACGGGUGGCAGCAGUGAGGAAUAUUGGUCAAUGGGCGCGAGCCUGAACCAGCCAAGUAGCGUGAAGGAUGACUGCCCUACGGGUUGUAAACUUCUUUUAUAAAGGAAUAAAGUGAUGCACGUGUGCCUCUUUGUAUGUACUUUAUGAAUAAGGAUCGGCUAACUCCGUGCCAACAGCCGCGGUAAUACGGAGGAUCCGAGCGUUAUCUGGAUUAAUUGGGUUUAAGGGGAGCGUAGAUGGGUUGUUAGGUCAGUCGUGAAAGUUUGCGGCUCAACCGUAAAAUUGCAAUUGAUACUGGCAGCCUUGAGUACAGUUGAGGUAGGCGGAAUUCGUGGUGUAGCGGUGGAAUGCUUAGAUAUCACGAAGAACUCCGAUUGCGAAGGCAGCCUACUAAGCUGCCACUGACAUUGAUGCUCGAAAGUGUGGGUAUCAAACAGGAUUAGAUACCCCUGUAGUC